rnacentral:rRNA from 1 species
AGAUUGAACGCUGGCGGCAUGCCUAACACAUGCAAGUCGAACGGGAGUAGCAAUACUCUAGUGGCGGACGGGUGAGGAAUACGUAGGAAUUUGCCCUUAAGUGGGGGAUAACCCGGGGAAACCCGGAUUAAUACCGCAUGACCUCGAAAGAGCAAAGUGGGGGAUCGCAAGACCUCACGCUUUUGGAGAAGCCUACGUCGGAUUAGCUAGUUGGUGAGGUAAUGGCUCACCAAGGCGACGAUCCGUAACUGGUCUGAGAGGAUGAUCAAGUCACACCGGAACUGAGACACGGUCCGGACUCUACGGGAGGCAGCAGUGGGGAAUAUUGGACAAUGGGCGCAAGCUGAUCCAGCAAUGCCGCGUGU